CAGAUGACUCCGAAGUUUGCAUCCUAAUUAGGUUGGUGCAAAAGUAAUUGUGGAUUUUGCCAUUAAAAGUAAUGGCAAAAACAGCAAUUAUUUUUGUACCAGACUAGUAUCUUUUCUCCUUCUACACAACUUUGUCCCUGAGACAUCUCA
rnacentral:miRNA from 1 species